AUGCUAGGGUGUGAUGGGGAAGCCCUUCGGGGCGAAGUAGCUGAUUUCACACUGUCAAGAAAAGCUUCUAUCGAGUUUAAAGGCGCCCGUACCGUAAACCGACACAGGUGGGUGAGGAGAACAUCCUAAGGCCAGCGAGAGAACUAUUGUUAAGGAACUCGGCAAAAUGACCCCGUAACUUAGGGAGAAGGGGUGCCUGUCUAUGACAGGCCGCAGAGAAUAGGCCCAAGCGACUGUUUACCAAAAACACAGGUUUCUGCUAAGUCGCAAGACGAUGUAUAGGAGCUGACGCCUGCCCGGUGCUGGAAGGUUAAGGGGAUCUGUUAGAGCAAUCGAAGCAGUGAACUUAAGCCCCAGUAAACGGCGGCCGUAACAAUAACGGUCCUAAGGUAGCGAAAUUCCUUGUCGGGUAAGUUCCGACCCGCACGAAAGGCGUAACGAUUUGGGCACUGUCUCAACAAUAGACUCGAUGAAAUUGUAAUCCCGGUGAAGAUGCCGGGUACCUGCGACAGGACGGAAAGACCCCAUGGAGCUUUACUGUAGCUUGACGUUGGGUCUUGGUACUACAUGUACAGGAUAGGUGGGAGACUAUGAAGCAUGGACGCCAGUCUGUGUGGAGUCAUCCUUGGGAUACCACCCUUGUAGUACUGGGAUCCUAACCAUAGGCCUUGAAUCAGGUCUUGGAACACCGUCAGGUGGGCAGUUUGACUGGGGCGGUCGCCUCCUAAAAAGUAACGGAGGCGCUCAAAGGUUUCCUCAGCACGGUCGGAAAUCGUGCGAAGAGUGUAAAGGCAAAAGGAAGCUUGAUUGCAAGACAUACAGGUCGAGCAAGGACGAAAGUCGGACUUAGUGAUCCGGUGGUACCGCAUGGAAGGGCCAUCGCUCAACGGAUAAAAGCUACCCUGGGGAUAACAGGCUUAUCUCCCCCAAGAGUCCACAUCGACGGGGAGGUUUGGCACCUUGAUGUCGGCUCAUCACAUCCUGGGGCUGUAGUAGGUCCCAAGGGUUGGGCUGUUCGCCCAUUAAAGUGGUACGCGAGCUGGGUUCAGAACGUCGUGAGACAGUUCGGUCCCUAUCCGUCGCAGGCGUAGGAAAUUUGAGAAGACCUGUCCUUAGUACGAGAGGACCGGGAUGACGUACCUCUGGUGUACCAGUUGUUCUGCCAAGGGCAUGGCUGGGUAGCUAUGUACGGAAUGGAUAAGCGCUGAAAGCAUCUAAGCGCGAAGCCAACUUCAAGAUAAGAUUUCCCACCGUAAGGGUAAGACCCCAGGAAGACUACCUGGUUGAUAGGUCGAAGGUGUAAGUGCAGUAAUGUAUUUAGCUUAUCGAUACUAAUAGGUCGAGGACUUGACCA
rnacentral:rRNA from 1 species